rnacentral:rRNA from 1 species
CCGAAUCUCAGUUCGGAUUGCAGGCUGCAACCCGCCUGCAUGAAGUCGGAAUCGCUAGUAAUCGCGGGUCAGCAUACCGCGGUGAAUACGUUCCCGGGCCUUGUACACACCGCCCGUCACACCACGAAAGUUGGGUAACACCCGAAGCCGGUGGCCUAACCCUUAGGGGAGGGGAGCUGUCGAAGGUGGGACUGAUGAUUGGGGUGAAGUCGUAACAAGGUAAC